GAUGAAGAACGUAUCGAAAUGCGAUACGUAAUGUGAAUUGCAGAAUUCAGUGAAUCAUCGAGUCUUUGAACGCACAUUGCGCCCCCUGGUAUUCCGGGGGGCAUGCCUGUCCGAGCGUCAUUGCUGCCCUCAAGCACGGCUUGUGUGUUGGGCCUCCGCCCCCCGGCUCCCGGGGGGCGGGCCCGAAAGGCAGCGGCGGCACCGCGUCCGGUCCUCGAGCGUAUGGGGCUUCGUCACCCGCUCCGUAGGCCCGGCCGGCGCCCGCCGGCGACCCCCCUCAAUCUUUCCAGGUUGACCUCGGAUCAGGUAGGGAUACCCGCUGAACUUAAGCAUAUCAAUAAGCGGAGGA
rnacentral:misc_RNA from 1 species